GUAGGAGAUACAUUAACACCAAAUGAGAUGAUAUCGCUUUCUGCAAAAUUAUUACAACAAGCACAGACUGCAGAAGAUGACAAAGGUUCCAUUACGUUAUCCAAUACUCCUGAAGUUUUGGCUGAGCAAUUGUUUCAGUUACUUUUUAAACGAUCGCAACAUGUCGUGAUUCUUACAGG